rnacentral:lncRNA from 1 species
UUUCGCUAGCUGAUGGAACAGGAACCCGCAAUCAAUACCAACAUCAGAGAACUCCUCGUCAGGAACACCAAGUCGAUGAAGUCUCCCAAGAUGAAUUAUUAGCUGACACUUUGGAGGGCGAAACUAGCAGCUAGAGAACUCAAAGAAGAGCAAGAAACGCUUAGAGAGCAGAUCGUCAUCAACAACUUGCUGCAAGACUCCCCAUAAGGAACCUUGACAGAGCAUUUCAAGCAGUUCAAUCAUGGGAACAUAACACCACACUUGCAGCUAUCGCUUCAAUCGAUCUUCUAAC